rnacentral:rRNA from 1 species
ACCGGCGAUUUCCGAAUGGGGAAACCCAGUGUGAUUCGUCACACUAUCAUUAACUGAAUCCAUAGGUUAAUGAGGCGAACCGGGGGAACUGAAACAUCUAAGUACCCCGAGGAAAAGAAAUCAACCGAGAUUCCCCCAGUAGCGGCGAGCGAACGGGGAGCAGCCCAGAGCCUGAAUCAGUGUGUGUGUUAGUGGAAGCGUCUGGAAAGGCGCGCGAUACAGGGUGACAGCCCCGUACACAAAAAUGCACAUGCUGUGAGCUCGAUGAGUAGGGCGGGACACGUGGUAUCCUGUCUGAAUAUGGGGGGACCAUCCUCCAAGGCUAAAUACUCCUGACUGACCGAUAGUGAACCAGUACCGUGAGGGAAAGGCGAAAAGAACCCCGGCGAGGGGAGUGAAAAAGAACCUGAAACCGU